rnacentral:lncRNA from 1 species
CUCUGAUGGUACAUUUUCUGUCUUAGUCCUAGCUCAGAUUCCACCCAUCUAAAAUCACCCCUUAUAACUUUCCUCUGAGUGACCUAAAAACACUAUUAACGUAAAAUUUACCGUCGAAAACACUUCCUCCCAAAUUCGGGGCACACAGAUACUCCCCUGAAAAGCACUUAACACAUAACUCAGCUGGAUCCUCCACAAUCAAAAGUACACCUAUAAAACAUGCCCAAGGAAAAAAACGUAAAUGUGACCUUGAUCACAGAAAACAACUUCUUCAGUCAAGGAUGAAGGAAGUCAACAGAGAACCUGGGGAUUCUUUCAGUAUUAGGAGCACAGAGAAAAUCAGAGAAUGAACUCAGGUACAGACAAAGCAGAGACCCAGAGCUCUGGGCAAGAAGUGAAUUACUGGUGAACACAUUGCACAAGUACAUGAUAAAGCAGAAAAUGCAGGUCAUACACGAACCCCUGACCCAAACCAGCAGAGCUUACUGCAUGCAACAUCGGUCUCCAGGAGAAAGACCACUUAUUCCAGAGAAAUGCGACGAGCAGAGAGCUCCAUAGAAUAAAUUAGCAUAGAAGGGGCUUUCCCAGCAGUUAAAAACUUUCCUUUCUCACGCGAUUCAUCUACUUAAACCAGGGCUUUUUCCCACCACUAUUGACUUCACAUUUUGCUUUGCACGCAGAGGGAAGGAGAAUUCAUAAGGCGUAAAUUUUUUGGCCUUGAAAAACGUUCUCAAAAAAUUGCUCUCCACGCCCAAGAAGGGAAAACGACGGAAUCUGGCGCAACUCCAUGCUGUAGCCCUACAGCCUCAGCGGGGAGAUCUCAGAGAUCCGGGGGCAUUCACUACAGGGUGCUCAAGAGUGUGAGGUGGGGGUGGCGAAGGCAAGGUUUUCAGUGUGGGAAAGGAAGCAGCCAUCUGAGAAGGGGUUUGGAGAACGAGGGAAGGCGUCUUGAAGAUCACGGAGAGGAUCGGGGCCGUCUGAGUUGUCACAAGGCCGCAGGAUCGGGGGCAGGAGGUGUUACUUGCUCAUCCAGUCCCCAGACGUGCCACUGGUCUUCUCUCCUGAUCUUGAGUAUGCAUGAUGGGAGCUACUGCCUUCAAGGUUCUUCCAAACUCCCUGAUGGAAUGCUUGCUCAACCACUGGAAAUAAUCAGAUACCCACACUUGAAAAAGAAAGGGACCAUUCCUGACUGGAUUAAAGGCUACCAAAUUGAUGCCACCCUUAUGGCUACCUUAUGUGACAUGCCUCCUUCCAAGGAGAAAGAAUUAGAUAAUGAAAAGCCUCCAAUAAGGAACUCUUGCUGA